rfam:Schistosoma mansoni strain Puerto Rico chromosome 2, complete genome
GCACUGCUGAGGAGUCCCAUAAUAGUACGAAACAGCCGUCCAGUAC